rnacentral:rRNA from 1 species
UGGGGAAUAUUGCGCAAUGGGGGGAACCCUGACGCAGCCAUGCCGCGUGAAUGAAGAAGGCCUUAGGGUUGUAAAGUUCUUUCGGUAUUGAGGAAGGUUGAUGUGUUAAUAGCACAUCAAAUUGACGUUAAAUACAGAAGAAGCACCGGCUAACUCCGUGCCAGCAGCCGCGGUAAUACGGAGGGUGCGAGCGUUAAUCGGAAUAACUGGGCGUAAAGGGCACGCAGGCGGUUAUUUAAGUGAGGUGUGAAAGCCCCGGGCUUAACCCGGGAAUUGCAUUUCAGACUGGGUAACUAGAGUACUUUAGGGAGGGGUAGAAUUCCACGUGUAGCGGUGAAAUGCGUAGAGAUGUGGAGGAAUACCGAAGGCGAAGGCAGCCCCUUGGGAAUGUACUGACGCUCAUGUGCGAAAGCGUGGGGAGCAAACAGGAUUAGAUACCCUGGUAGUCCACGCUGUAAAACGCUGUCGAUUUGGGGGUUGGGGUUUAACUCUGGCGCCCGUAGCUAACGUGAUAAAUCGACCGCCUGGGGAGUACGGCCGCAAGGGUUA